rnacentral:rRNA from 1 species
UGAGGAAUAUUGGUCAAUGGCCGGGAGGCUGAACCAGCCAAGUCGCGUGAGGGAUGACGGUCCUAUGGAUUGUAAACCUCUUUUGUCGGGGAGCAAAAGGCAUCACGUGUGAUGCUCCGAGAGUACCCGAAGAAAAAGCAUCGGCUAACUCCGUGCC